AGGGUUCUGGGUGAGGUAGCCCUCUAUAAAACUGGCAACUGGAAGCCAGUUCUUCAUGGCUGCUGGAGGAAGAGUCACCUAGAGGAGCCUGGCUCUGCUUGAUUGACAUUAUUAAAGACAAAUGCAUCCAGGCUGGAGUUGAGCACUGAUUUACCCUGGGCUGGGUGGAAAAGGCAAAGCUGACAGGACUUACUGCGUAGCAUGACUCUCCCGAAGACGGUGUGGUCUCUAUCCAGCGUGCUGCAGUUCCAGCGGUGGUGCCGGAACUGGUGUUGGCAUUCCCGGAUCCACUCUUUGGCGCCCUCCCCGACGGACUGCAUGAUAUCUGGGGAAGGCUUUCUCGGCCCCUGCCCUUGCCUGGACAUUGACUGUCUCUGCUAGCCCUGAGAUGAGGAGAUGCACCCCAGAGGAAGCUGCUCUGCAGUGGUGGCAGAACUACAUGAGCUUUGGGGCCAGUCCAGGAUCAUUCCUCCCAGAACAUUCUCCAGUCGGUGCUGUCCAGCCUCGGAUGAAAUGAUGCCGGGAUGACUGUUUCCAGUGGGAGAUGCAGCCCCCCCCCCCCCCCCCAAAAAAAAGAGAAGUUGAGAAAUAGGGAUUUGCCAGUACUCGCGAGUGUCUUAAUGACUGAACUAAGGGAUAUUCUGAUAACCACUUCAAGAGUGAAGCUAGAGGGACCUCCCACCUCUUAGGCCAGAGACUAGACCCGAACCAGCAUCUUUCAUCAUUCCAGGCCAGCACCCAAACCACCAAACUAGAGAAGGCUUCUUGCAAGGGUGCUUCUCCAAUUAAUAUGUAGUUAAAGUAGAAAUCGCUUCUCAUUAAGCAAAAGGGGGAGUGAACCAGACUCUUUCAGAGCCUAGCUCUGAGCAAAAGGAAAGUGAUUUCUUCCCAUUCCAAGAGCAAGCGCGAAAUAUGAGCUGUGGUGCAUCAGUAACCUAACUACAGGCUGUCAUUUAUAAGCCUGCUCCCACUACCUACAGUAUGAGUAAUUCUGAGGGCAAAGAGCAGAAACUCUCAGCCAUGAUCACACCUCAAAGAUGACCCAACUGUGGCUUUAUAAAUUAGAGCCAUUCCUUUAAAGUCAUGGCAUGGACACACCUGAUCGUAACCCAGGAGUUAAUGAAAAACCAAGCCGUAGCUGAAUCAAGUAGGACUUGCUCAGUAGUCUGCCUAGCAAAAUCUGCAGGUAGGUAAAUGGAGGCCGACCCGACUGCAGCUUUUUCAGAGUCAGCAGCCUCUGUCUUAGUGGCAUCUUCAUUGAAAAGCAGUAAAAAGCAAGUAUCGCUGGGUCAUGUGCACUGUGAGUCGUUUGCUAAGAAUAAGUGAGAAACUUCCACCAACACUGGCCUCCUUCAGGCGGCAUCUGAAAUGUGCAAAUUAGCAGUCUGGUCUCGGUAUCGUCAUGUGUCCCCUGUUAGCAAUGGAUGGGUGAUAGAUAGCACGGAACAUGAUGGUGAUCCAAAAGCUAUCCUAAGCUUGGUACAGCAUCGGCCUGAGGGAACCUGAGCAACAAGGGAGAUAUCACAGAGAAGAUCUGGGGUGCCCAAUGGACCCCACGGCAAUGAGUGGAGCAACAGAAUAUUGAGCACAUCAGACAGAUUCUGAUGCUUUAACCAUCUGUAAACUACCAGGACUAUUUUGGGGAGUUAUUGAUCAAAGGGGUGUUGUAUUAGACAUGCAGUAGCACCUAGUUCAAUGUAGCAAUUACAUGAGUACAGGGUUAUGCUUUGUUAUUCACACAAGACAUUCUACAGCCCUUCCAGUAAGAGUCAUUACUGUUAUAAGCAGAUGACAUGGAUUGUCAUUGUAUUCACUGAGAGUAAGAAGAUAAUUACAGUUGUACCUUGUGUGCAUUAGACAUACGUCUCUAGCCGAGCGGAUAACAUCCAACUAUCUGUUUGAUCUGCAUAACUUCAUAAAAAAAUAGACCAACGUCUCACCUCAGUCCAUUCUGCAACUAAUGACCAGUAUUUUGCUGUGUAGCUGGGUGGCAAACAAGCUCAUACUGUCACGUGCCUACAGCCUUCUGCUUUAGCCAAAGGCAAAACAAGUACAGGAAAACACAUUAAAAUACAUCACUGAGGCCUAUAUAUUUCCCAGAUUGCCCAAAGCAGUACAAUUACACAGUUGCCUUAUCAAGUGUAUUUAGAAGCUUUCUGCUGAAUGUGGUUAAAAUUAAACUGUGUUUCUAUGA